rnacentral:RNase_P_RNA from 1 species
CGAGUAAGCUAGACAGUCGCGUGCGCACGCCGAAAGGCCGCGCACGAGGAAAGUCCGAGCUCCAUAGGGCAAGGAUAACGGGUAACGCCCGCCGGAGGCGACUCCAGGAAUAGUGCAACAGAAAUAGACCGCCGUCAGAAGACAGGGGUCAGAGGUCAGAAGGUAGCACCGCCGCGUCUGAUUUCCGGCUUCUGACCUCUGUCUUCUGGUUUGGCAAGGGUGGAAAGGCGAGGUAAGAGCUCACCGGCGCCCGGGAGACCGGGCGGCCCUGUAAACUCUAUCCGGAGCAACACCGCUCAGUGGGACACAAAGGCUGGCCCGGCCGUCCCCAUAGGUGGCUGGAGCUGUGUGGCAACGCACGGCCUAGAUAGAUGACUGUCCACGACAGAACUCGGCUUACCGGCUUACUCGCUCC